UACGGAGGGGGCUAGCGUUGUUCGGAAUCAUUGGGCGUAAAGGGCGCGUAGGCGGCCGAUCAAGUCGGAGGUGAAAUCCCUCGGCUCAACUGAGGAACUGCCUUCGAUACUGUUCGGCUUGAGUCCUGGAGAGGGUAGCGGAAUUCCCGGUGUAGCGGUGAAAUGCGUAGAGACCGGGAAGAACACCAGUGGCGAAGGCGGCUACCUGGACAGGUACUGACGCUGAAGCGCGAAAGCUAGGGGAGCAAACAGG
rnacentral:rRNA from 1 species